GUAUGCGCUGCGUCCGCGCUCUGCUACAUGGGAAGCUGUCGUACCCGGUAGGCACCGGGCGACUCGCCCUCGGCACGGAGCUGCUGCCACUGUUUCCCUCCAACGACAUCUUCUACGACCCGCCAAAGCUGCGCUACCGGCUCGACCAGGAUGGCUACCUCUACUUCAAGAACACUGUGCCGCGUGAUGUGGUGAACGCCGCGCUCGACGACCUGGCGACUCAGAUGCGCGAGUGCGGACUUACCCUUGACGAGGACCGCGCGCGGCAGGCGGAGCUGCACGGCUUCGCGAUGGGUGUGCCGUACCCGUCCACCAGCGGCGGCGAGCUGCCGCCGCCGAAUAUCCACCACACCGACACCAUUCGCAACGCAGUGAGUGGCACGAGUGUGAUGGCGACGGUGCGCCAAGUCUUCGGGGGCGCUGUCCAGGCAACAGCGCUACAGACGCUGCACCUUGGCGCCCCCGGCGAGUCCUUCGGCUUUCGCAUGCCGAGCGUUUUUCUGAACCGCGGCACGAAACUCGCCCUCGUGGCCAUAGUGCCUCUGCACGACACCCCGCUCCAUAUGGGCACACCGCUGCUGGUGCGCAGCAGCAACAGCCACGACACGUACGCGCAGCUGCGGAAAACCUACGGACAGUGGGAGGUGGAGGGCGACUCGAUCCGCGGGGACGGCUGCUACACCGAGAACCCGGCGGAGCUUUCGCCGUUUGGCAAGCUGCCAGGCACGGAUGACACAACCGGGGCCUCCAUCAUUGUUGACGUCAACCCGUUCGUGUCCUCGGCCUUGGAGGCUGGAGACGUGCUGCUGACUACCGUGUACACAAUGCAGUCCUUCUUAACAAACCAGACGAACUGCUGGCGCCUCAUGGCAGAGGCUGUCUGGUGCAUGGACGGUGACGACGUCGGACUAGACCCGCGGUACAUGGGUAGCGCCGCGCCUGGGCUUGCGGCGUGGACAGAACGCCGUGACGACCCGACCGUGUACCCGAAGAGCUUGAUGGAGGCCAAGAAGGAGUGGGGCCUAGUACCCGACUUGGCGGCGGUCACAAUGGACGAGUCGAAGACGUCUUCCACCUGAGAUGACGGCUUCGCUCUUCAUGUUGUUUUUCCGUGAGUAUGUGUGUAUAUAUGUGAUAGGAAAGCCUCUCUGUGGCCCUCUGUCGAGUUGUGCUGUCUAACUUUAACUCCCAAGCAGCGCACCGGUCUCUCUCUCUCUCUCUGCAUGACUUGCAAGCAGCACGGACAGGAAAGGUAUGCGAGGAGCGGCUCCUGUCCUGCCGCCCUCCCCCCCCUCCCUGGCCUUCCGCUGUAUGUCACACACACACACACACACACAGACUCUUAACCGGCUUACGCACAGCAAAGCAACCACAGCACGGACGAGUACUAAUAAAGAAGCGCAGCGGGUUCAUCGGCUUGCUUCCCUCCUACCUGCUGUCGAUGUGAACGCGGCCGUGCGCGCAUCCCCUCCCCAUCCAUUCCCUUGCUCCUGUGGGAGCGUGUGUGUGUGUGUGUGCAGAGAGUGCGUGGAGGUGCGUGAUUGCCUGCCUGCCCGUGUCGUGGCACCUUCCGCGGCGCACCCCAGUCCUUCCGCUCCCUCCUUCGCAUCAUGGCCUUCGCUUGUUGUAGCACAAACACGUUCAAGCAGGCCAACGUGCUUGUGUGCUGCGUCCCCUUUUCUUCUCCGAAACCCUGUCGACCUUGCUCGUCGGCCACGCCUCUCACCAUACACACCACACUUUCCCCAUUUCAUGUUGCGUUCCUGCUUUUGGGGGGAGCUUUCUGCUUUUUGCUUCGCCAUCUUCUCGCCUCCGACGCAG
rnacentral:misc_RNA from 1 species